GCAUGUGCAUCUGGGUUUCAUUAUCGCCUUCGAGAAUGUAGUGUUCUUCUUCCUGUGCCCCAACGACCGGCUCGUGCCCGAUGUGCCAGCCCUGGCUACCAAGAUAACUGCGCGAGCGCUACCUGGCCAAGCAGGCGGUGGCAGACAACCGGGAGACGCUGUUUCAGUCAGCAAGUUACGCAUCUGGGCAGUGUCCCAAGGCCGGUCCGGGAGUUGGAUGAGAGGAUUGGAGUUCCCUGGAGACCUCCAGACCUGCACUGCUACCCUUCCGUGUUCUUGCCUCCUGGCCUCUGUGCAAUGCUGACAAUAAACCUGUCUCUGCGUCCCA
ensembl:lncRNA novel transcript